rnacentral:rRNA from 1 species
UACGUAGGGUGCAAGCGUUGUCCGGAAUCACUGGGCGUAAAGGGCGCGUAGGCGGCCUGAUAAGUAGGGGGUGAAAUCUUGCGGCUUAACCGCAAGGCUGCCUUCUAAACUGUCAGGCUAGAGCACAGUAGAGGCAGGUGGAAUUCCCGGUGUAGCGGUGGAAUGCGUAGAGAUCGGGAAGAACAUCAGUGGCGAAGGCGGCCUGCUGGGCUGUUGCUGACGCUGAGGCGCGACAGCGUGGGGAGCAAACAGG